UCUUGAUUAGUAUCAAAGUAAUUGGAUUAUUACAAUGCUAAAAACAUAUGAAAGUGAUAAUUUAAUAAAAAUGUAUUAUAAUUUCAACAAUAAUCAAAUCAAAAUACAUAUUGUACUUGUUCCUUGGAGUUUUACUAUAAAUUUCAAUCUAACAAACCACUUAAUCUAUUGACCACCUAUCAAUCUAACAAAACAUUUGCUCCCAUUUGUGAGCAACUUUAGAGCUUCCAGAUGCAAAAAUUAGUUUCAACUUAAUCAUCUGAGGAGCUCUAGCUCCGUUCUACACCUGUUACUAUCACCAAUAAUAAAAAUAAAUAUCUUUUGAUAAAACAAUGAACUCAUAUAAAAAUAUAUAUAAUAUAACAUAAGCAAAAAAAAUGUUACAUUAAAUAUAUAUAUAACAUAACUAUCACCAUAUCAUCUUUAUUUUUUUCAUUCUUCACCUUAUGUUCACCUUCUCGAACACACAUAAAAAUACAAUAAUUAUCUUUUCUAGAACGAGUAUGAAUCCCAAACCCCUUUGUUUUAGCAAAUAUGAUAUAAAAUUCUUCAACUUGUUGUAGAGAAUCAAAUCUCAUUCCAAUAUGAGGGUUAACAUUGAAUUCCCCAAUAGUAGGAGAUUGUAUCAUAUUAGAUAAGUCAGAAUGAGUUACCUGACUAUUAUCUGAAAUGAGGUCACUCUCCAUAUUCAUUUUUCAUGAUGAUGACAAUGGCAUGAGUGAGUCUUCUCCAAUUUAGAAUGAAGAACAUUGGAUUUGGGAAUACUAUUCAACCUGCACUACUAAUGGAGGGAUGAGUUGGAUUUGGAAUGAUAGGUUGUUUUAGGUUUGACUAUGGAGGAAUAGAAAUUUGUUGGGAAUGAUAGGUUGGAUUUAGCAAUUUGGGAAUUUGUGCUUCAUAUGGCUUCCAUCACUUCUUAAAAUGCAUAGACCCAACAUUAUUUCUUGCAUAAUAAUUUCAGCUACUUGUGAUGAAAAAUGAAAAAGAAAAUAUGAAACACGUCAACCUUAACAUCAAAAUAGCAAUACCCUUAUUCCAAAAAAAAACUAAUUGAAUAACCACCAAUGGUAUGGUCAGGUAAAUUGGGGUUAUUAGCUUUGUGGUCCUCUUUGUGCAUAUGGGUGUGAGGGUUUAGCAUAUGAGCUGCAACAAGGUUUGACAAUGGAGGAAUAGAAAGUUUGGGAAUGAUAUGUUGAAUUUAUUUUUCAUGGUGGUGAGAGUGGUAGAUCAAAUAGGAUUAGGAGAUAAAAAAUAAAAGUGGGUAAAUGAAA
rnacentral:lncRNA from 1 species